GUGGUAAUGCCGGAUGCUCCAGUCCAUCGCAUGGUGGUCUGGGAAAGAUUCCAUCGGUAUGGGAUGGGGUCGCGUCCUAUCAGCUUGAUGGCGGGGUAACGGCCCACCAUGGCUUCGACGGGUAGCCGGCCUGAGAGGGCGACCGGCCACAUUGGGACUGAGAUACGGCCCAGACUCCUACGGGAGGCAGCAGUGGGGAAUAUUGCACAAUGGGCGCAAGCCUGAUGCAGCGACGCCGCGUGCGGGAUGGAGGCCUUCGGGUUGUAAACCGCUUUUGAUCGGGAGCAAGCCCUUCGGGGUGAGUGUACCCUUCGAAUAAGCACCGGCUAACUACGUGCCAGCAGCCGCGGUAAUACGUAGGGUGCAAGCGUUAUCCGGAAUUAUUGGGCGUAAAGGGCUCGUAGGCGGUUCGUCGCGUCCGGUGUGAAAGCCCAUCGCUUAACGGUGGGUCUGCGCCGGGUACGGGCGGGCUGGAGUGCGGUAGGGGAGACUGGAAUUCCCGGUGUAACGGUGGAAUGUGUAGAUAUCGGAAAAGAACACCA
rnacentral:rRNA from 1 species